AUACGGAGGGUGCAAGCGUUACUCGGAAUCACUGGGCGUAAAGCGCGCGCAGGCGGGCUGAUAAGUUGGAUGUGAAAGCCUACGGCUCAACCGUAGAACUGCAUCCAAAACUGUCAGUCUAGAGUGUGGGAGAGGAAGAUGGAAUUAGUUGUGUAGGGGUAAAAUCCGUAGAGAUAACUAGGAAUACCAAAAGCGAAGGCAAUCUUCUGGAACACUACUGACGCUGAGGCGCGAAGGCGGGGGGAGCAAACAGGAUUAGAUACCCCAGUAGUCC
rnacentral:rRNA from 1 species